UACGUAGGGGGCAAGCGUUGUUCGGAUUUACUGGGCGUAAAGGGCGCGUAGGCGGCGCGUGAAGUCGGCCAUGAAAUCAUUGGGCUUACCCCAAUGGCUGUGCCCGAUACUUGCGUGCUUAGAGUGCGGGAGAGGCAAUCGGAAUUCUCGGUGUAGCGGUGAAAUGCGUAGAUAUCGAGAGGAACUCCGGUGACGAAGGUGGGUUGCUGGACCGACACUGACGCUGAGGCGCGAAAGCUAGGGGAGCAAACGGG
rnacentral:rRNA from 1 species